rnacentral:rRNA from 1 species
GACGAACGCUGGCGGCGUGCUUAACACAUGCAAGUCGAACGGUAAGGCCCUUCGGGGUACACGAGUGGCGAACGGGUGAGUAACACGUGGGUGAUCUGCCCUGCACUUCGGGAUAAGCCUGGGAAACUGGGUCUAAUACCGGAUAGGACCACUGCCUGCAUGGGUGGUGGUGGAAAGCUUUUGCGGUGUGGGAUGGGCCCGCGGCCUAUCAGCUUGUUGGUGGGGUGAUGGCCUACCAAGGCGACGACGGGUAGCCGGCCUGAGAGGGUGACCGGCGACACUGGGACUGAGAGACGGCCCAGACUCCUACGGGAGGCAGCAGUGGGGAAUAUUGCACAAUGGGCGCAAGCCUGAUGCAGCGACGCCGCGUGAGGGAUGACGGCCUUCGGGUUGUAAACCUCUUUCAGCACCGACGAAGCGCAAGUGACGGUAGGUGCAGAAGAAGGACCGGCCAACCACGUGCCAGCCGCCGCCGUAA